rnacentral:rRNA from 1 species
UACAGAGGGGGCAAGCGUUAUUCGGAAUUAUUGGGCGUAAAGGGCGCGUAGGCGGUUUUUUAAGUCAGAUGUGUAAUCCCCGAGCUCAACUUGGGAACGUGCAUCUGAGACUGGAAGGCUAGAGUACUGGAGAGGGUGGUGGAAUUCCUGGUGUAGGGGUGGAAUCUGUAGAGAUCAGGAAGAAUACCGAUGGCGAAGGCAAGCUCCUGGCCGAUGACUGACGCUGAGGUGCGAAAGUGUGGGGAUCAAACAGGAUUAGAAACCCCCAGUAGU